rnacentral:tRNA from 1 species
GGUGGCUCAGUGAUUAGAGUGCUUGCCUUGCAUGCAUGAUACCCUGGGUUCGAUUCCUCAGUACCA